AUUAUCGUGUUCAGACUCAAUUUUUGAAUAUUUCAUUAACACACAAGCGCCAGUUUCGAAACAGUCGCCGACGCCGCCAUAGCCGCCACCACCACCGUCGGCAACGCCACUUUUUUGGUGCACUCUUAGUUAUUUACCUAAUACAGUUACUGGAAACCGACAUUAAGGUUUUGAAUUUAAGACCACGAAGGAUAUUACAAUCAUUAAAAUGAAUAUGUUAUGAUGUUUAGAAGCCAACGCCAAUCCACCAGUAGAACAUAAAUUGUGUGCUCUAUAAGGGAUUACAUUUACGAUGGAGAAGAGAUAUUUAAAUUUAAAAUACACACAACGAUACGUGGUCCUUACUUACAUGAUCUUCCUAGAUUACCACAAUCUAUUUCAAAGAUGAGUCAAUAUACCUAUACAGGAGAUACAACUGAACCCUUCUUUAAAAAGGUAAAUAUUCAUCCACCUGUAGUAGAGGCAUAGAAGUAGAGGCUUAGAAGAAGGUAACGAACAUAACAUUUUAAAUUGAUUAAUGAAUGUAAACAGUUGUGGUAAGCAAUCUGCCUCAGCCUUUUUAAAUAAAAUAAAUGAAUAUAAAAGUCAAA